UCAGUAACGCGUAGUCAACCUAACCUAUGGACGGGAAUAACCUCGGGAAACUGAGUAUAAUGCCCGAUAGAACACUAUACCUGGAAUGGUUUGUGUUCCAAAUGAUUUAUCGCCGUAGGAUGGGACUGCGGGCUAUCAAUUUGUUGGUGAGGUAAUGGCCCACCAAGACUAUUACUGGUACGGGCUCUGAGAGGAGUAGCCCGGAGAUGGGUACUGAGACACGGACCCAGGCCCUAUGGGGCGCAGCAGGCGAGAAAACUUUGCAAUGUGCGAAAGCACGACAAGGUUAAUCCGAGUGGUUUCUGCUAAAGGAACCUUUUGUUAGUCCUAGAAACACUAACGAAUAAGGGGUGGGCAAGUUCUGGUGUCAGCCGCCGCGGUAAAACCAGCACCUCACGUGGUCAGGAUGAUUAUUGGGCCUAAAGCAUCCGUAGCCGGCUCUGUAAGUUUUCGGUUAAAUCUGUACGCUCAACGUACAGGCUGCCGGGAAUACUGCAGAGCUAGGGAGUGGGAGAGGUAGACGGUACUCGGGAGGAAGUGGUAAAAUGCUGUUGAUCUCUCGAUGACCACCUGUGGCGAAGGCGGUCUACCACAGCACGUCCGACGAUGAGGGAUGAAAGCUGCUGGAGCAAACAGCAUUAUAUACCCGGGUAGUCCCAGCUGUAGACUAUGUAGACUCAGUGAUGCAUUGUCUUGUGGCCAAUGCAGUAUUGCAGGGAAGCCGUUAA
rnacentral:rRNA from 1 species